rnacentral:rRNA from 1 species
CCCUUAGAUGUUCUGGGCCGCACGCGCGCUACACUGAUGCAUUCAACGAGUUUCUUCCUGGUCCGAGAGGAAUGGGUAACCUUUUGAAAGUGCAUCGUGAUAGGGAUAGACUAUUGCAAUUAUUGGUCUUCAACGAGGAAUUCCUAGUAGACGUAGUUCAUCAGACUGCAUCGAUUACGUCCCUGCCCUUUGUACACACCGCCCGUCGCUCCUACCGAUUGAAUGGUCCGGUGAAGCCUCCGGAUUGGCGCGCACCUCGGUGCCGCCGAGAAGUUGGCUAAACCUUACCAUUUAGAGGAAGGUGAAGUCGUAACA